UAAUUGAUACAUAAUAGGUGCUA
rnacentral:siRNA from 1 species